AGAUGGAUGAACCCCUGCAAAUACCUAUUUCUUGGGAAAGUUGAGCAAAUGAGUCUAAAAUCCCUACUGUCUUUUCUCUUUGCAUGGAGCUUU
rnacentral:snoRNA from 1 species